GCUGGUCUCGAACUCUUGACCUCAAGGAAUCCACCUGCCUCAGCCUCCCAAAAUGUUGGGAUUACAGGUGUGAGCCACCACAUUUGACCACUUCAUGUAAUUUCAAGGCCAUGCUCUUUCUACCUGGCUUCUUCAAGAUCCACAUUGUCUCUCCAGCUGGAUGGCUGAACUUACAUCACAGCUCAGGAAUAGAUCACACUGCGAUUGUGAAAUUGUUGUGAUUGCCGAAGAAUGAAUAUCAAAGCUUGCAGAAUGUAUGUCAGUGGCUUGGAGGAGCAUCCUAGGGACAGUAGUGGAGGAUUAAUUAUGUAAUGUUGCGUCAACAAUGUUCCUGAAGACACAGAGGAUGAUGUUCUUAUGGGAAAAUUGAGACACCCAUGACUCAGUUGAAAA